UAACCAGAUGCUCCGCAGGGCGCAGCUUUAUACGACCGCAGAGGUUGAACCCUGAACGGUUGGGGCAAGUAUGGACACAACAUUCCAGCUGGAUUCAGCUCUAAAUUUGGAUUGUGAUUAAAUAGUUGACACAGCAUAGGUUUCUGACACAGAAUUAAUGUGAUCUAAUGAACUUAAAAUACUUUUUUUUCCUUUGAGCAAUUCACUAUGCUGUUGAAUAUUAAUCCUCUCAAAAAAAUGUUUGAAGAAAUUUUCUUUUUAUUUAUGAAAUCUGAAAUGAGAAAAAUUUA
rnacentral:lncRNA from 1 species